AUGAUUUACACGGCGAUCGACACGUUCUACCUCACGGACGAGCAGCUGCGCGAGUCGCCGUCGCGGAAGGAUGGGAUCGACGAGGCCGCCGAGACGACCCUCCGCGUCUACGGCUGCGACCUCAUCCAGGAGAGCGGCAUCCUCCUCAGGCUACCUCAAGCAGUGAUGGCCACAGCACAAGUACUGUUCCAUCGGUUUUACUGCAAGAAAUCAUUUGCACGAUUUAGCGCUAAGAGAGUUGCUGCUAGCUGUGUUUGGUUAGCUGGGAAGUUGGAGGAGAGUCCAAGAAGGUCAAAGCAUAUCAUAUUUGUCUUCCAUAGAAUGGAAUGCAGGAGAGAAAGCCUACCAAUAGAAUUCUUGGAUGUGUUUUCAACGAAAUAUACAGAACUGAGGCAUGAUCUGAUAAGGACCGAACGACAUCUGCUGAAGGAGAUGGGGUUUAUCUGCCACGUUGAACACCCGCACAAGUUCAUCUCGAACUACCUAGCAACACUCGAAGCCCCUGAGCUGACACAAGAAGCGUGGAACCUUGCCAAUGAUAGCUUGCGGACAACUCUUUGUGUACGGUUUAAGAGUGAAGUAGUAGCAUGCGGAGUUGUGUAUGCUGCAGCUAGGAGGCACCGGGUUCCCCUCCCAGAAGAGCCUCCUUGGUGGACAGUCUUUGAUGCCGAUGAGGCAGCAAUUCAGGAAGUUUGCAGGGUUCUUGCUCACCUCUACAGCCUCCCAAAGGCACAAUAUAUACCAGUGUAUAAAGAUAAUGAUUCCUUCAGUGUUAGAAGGGCCUUGGAUACACACGCGUCUAAGGAGAGUCCAGCAAGUGCCGUUGCUAGUGAUAGGGGUACUCCUGUACCUUCGAGUUCUAGCCAGGAGAAGAAUUCACUGGCCAAGGCAGGACGAGAGAAAGUGAAGGAAAACAGUGAUACCAAGGAUAAGCUGUUGCCUGCUGAGCUAAAUGGGAAAGGAGACCAGGCAGUGAAUUCGAAGAGUGACAGGUCAGAGCCUAAUGUCGACCGUGCAGAGGAAAGAGAAAGAAGUAGAUCAAGAGGCCGUGACCGUGAUAUUAGGGGUAGAGAUUCUGAUCACGAGAGGGAGCGUGAUAGAGCCAAGAGACACCGUUCGAGAGACAAAAGUUCAGGAUACUCGGACAAGGAGAAAUCAAGGCACCGCUCGUCACGCGACCGCGCCGGCUACUACUCGUCUGGAGACAAAGAUCAUCGGCACAGGCGCCAUUGA
rnacentral:rRNA from 1 species